CAGACGGGUGAGUAACGCGUGGUCAACCUACCGUUGAGUGGGGGAUAACUAGCCGAAAGGUUAGCUAAUACCGCAUACGUCUCCGAGGGGCAUCCCUUGGCGAUAAAAGGAGCAAUCCGCUCGAUGACGGGACCGCGUCCCAUUAGCUAGAUGGUGGGGUAACGGCCUACCACGGCACCGAUGGGUAGCUGGUUUGAGAGAGCGACCAGCCACACUGGGACUGAGAAACGGCCCAG
rnacentral:rRNA from 1 species